GUUAAAGAGUACCUGAAAUUGCUGAAAGGGAAGCAAAGGAAACCAGUGUUGUUUUGGCUCAUUUUUCUCCUGCUGCUUGCAACAGGGGCGCUGUGAGUCCGAAUAGGCCAGCAUGGGUUUGAGUCGGGGCAAAUCGGUACAUUGGAGGUAGAUCUAUUUCAGAUUGAAGACUGUGUAUUGGUGCCCUGGUUUGGACUGAGGCUAGCAAGUGUGAUGCUGGCGAAAUGGUUUUCUUUACCCCGUCUUGAAACACGGACCAAGGAGUCUAAGAAAUUUGCGAGUAUAGGAGUGGCAAACUCCCAUGCGCAAUGAAAGUAACAGUGGUAGGACUCAUUUGAGGCACUAUCCGCCGGCCACAAUCCUUCGGGAGAAAGGUCUGAGUGUGAGCAUACUUCUUAGGACCCGAAAGAUGGUGAACUAUGCCUGAAUAGGGUGAAGCCAGGGGAAACUCUGGUGGAGGCUCGUAGCGGUUCUGACGUGCAAAUCGAUCGUCAAAUUUGGGUAUAGGGGCGAAAGACUAAUCGAACCAUCUAGUAGCUGGUUCCCUCCGAAAUUUCCCUCAGGAUAGCUGCAAUCGAAUGUUAUUUUUAUCA
rnacentral:rRNA from 1 species